GGAUAAUCCCGGGCAACCGGGGAAAGGAGGGCGUUAAUUGGUGACGUCCUCCCCUCAGUGGCGCGAGCCACAGGCAGGCAAAUAUCACCAGUUCCUCUGGACGGUGUCGCAGCCGAUCCAGUAUUGCGACAAAGGAGCUGUGCGACGAGGCGCGAACUCAGAAACCGCGUCCGAGUCGAGUCAGGUCCAAGGCCAGUUUCGGGCCUUGCACUGAUGCAGUUACCCAGAGGGUUUCGGUUGCUACUGUAUAACCAGGACGCAGCGCAGUGUUCCGGUGGGUCCACCCCACCAAAAGGCCCGGCUCUAAAAAGCGGGGCGCGAAAGGGCCACGGCGCAGCGGGGAGCGGGCGAGUCUGGCAAAGCUCGCAAAACCUCCUCCUUGGGGCGGCGCGUAAAACCGCGUCACCCAACCGCAAGUCGAAAGCAACCUGAGAGGUAAGAGGUCAGACCCGUUACAGGGGGCCAACGCCCGGCCAAAAGCCGGGGCCGUCCUCCUGGCAAGGUGCUGGUGCGAAAUGCAGACGUUGCAGGCGUGCCAACACCCGUCCGGCGAGCCACCCAUCGGCAGAUGGAGCCGAACCAGGCGCAGAGGCCUCACUCGAAAGAUUCCGGUGCUGAAAAGACCGGGACGGUCCCGCUAUGAGACCGACACCAUCGCAUGCCGCGGUGAGUAGCGUCGGGAAGCACACGGCCCGCGAAAGCGAGGCGCCCAAUGCUGUGCGAAUGGAGAAGAGUGCGUGGCGAGCACC
rnacentral:sRNA from 1 species